rnacentral:rRNA from 1 species
UACGUAGGGGGCGAGCGUUGUCCGAAGUUACUGGGCGUAAAGCGCGUGUAGGCGGGUCUUUAAGUGAGGGGUGAAAGGUUCGGGCUUAACCCGGACACUGCCUUUCAUACUGGAGACCUUGAGUGCGGGAGAGGCGAGUGGAAUGGUCGGUGUAGCGGUGAAAUGCGUAGAUAUCGAUCGGAACACCCAUGGCGAAGGCAGCUCGCUGGCCUGUAACUGACGCUGAGACGCGAAAGCGUGGGGAGCAAACAGG